rnacentral:rRNA from 1 species
AGUUAGUUGGUGGGGUAACGGCUCACCAAGACGACGAUACAUAGGGGGACUGAGAGGUUAACCCCCCACAUUGGUACUGAGACACGGACCAAACUCCUACGGGAGGCAGCAGUGAGGAAUAUUGGUCAAUGGACGCAAGUCUGAACCAGCCAUGCCGCGUGCAGGAAGACGGCUCUAUGAGUUGUAAACUGCUUUUGUACGAGGGUAAACGCAGAUACGUGUAUCUGUCUGAAAGUAUCGUACGAAUAAGGAUCGGCUAACUCCGUGCCAGCAGCCGCGGUAAUACGGAGGAUUCAAGCGUUAUCCGGAUUUAUUGGGUUUAAAGGGUGCGUAGGCGGUCGGAUAAGUUAGAGGUGAAAUCCCGGGGCUCAACUUCGGAAUUGCCUCUGAUACUGUUCGGCUAGAGAGUAGUUGCGGUAGGCGGAAUGUAUGGUGUAGCGGUGAAAUGCUUAGAGAUCAUACAGAACACCGAUUGCGAAGGCAGCUUACCAAGCUACUUCUGACGUUGAGGCACGAGAGCGUGGGGAGCAAACAGGAUUAGAUACCCUGGUAGUCCACGCAGUAAACGAUGAUAACUCGUUGUCGGCGAUACAGUGUCG